UGAAAAGUAGUUUAUUGAAAAAUAUGGAAUUUUGGUUUCCUUGAUACAAGGUCGUUUCUUGUCUUUUCAG
rnacentral:tRNA from 1 species